rnacentral:rRNA from 1 species
GAUGAACGCUGGCGGCGUGCUUAACACAUGCAAGUCGAACGAAGCACUUUAUUUGAUUUCCUUCGGGACUGAUUAUUUUGUGACUGAGUGGCGGACGGGUGAGUAACGCGUGGGUAACCUGCCUUGUACAGGGGGAUAACAGUUGGAAACGGCUGCUAAUACCGCAUAAGCGCCCAGCAUCGCAUGAUGCAGUGUGAAAAACUCCGGUGGUGUAAGAUGGACCCGCGUUGGAUUAGCUAGUUGGUGAGGUAACGGCCCACCAAGGCGACGAUCCAUAGCCGACCUGAGAGGGUGACCGGCCACAUUGGGACUGAGACACGGCCCAAACUCCUACGGGAGGCAGCAGUGGGGAAUAUUGCACAAUGGGCGAAAGCCUGAUGCAGCGACGCCGCGUGAGCGAAGAAGUAUUUCGGUAUGUAAAGCUCUAUCAGCAGGGAAGAUAAUGACGGUACCUGACGAAGAAGCACCGGCUAAAUACGUG